rnacentral:lncRNA from 1 species
GGCCCGGCCUCGCCAUGGUCCUCUGGUAUUGCUCGCUCUAGUAGGAUAUGGCUUGUUGUUGGUCAGUAACAUAAGUAGGCUCUGUGCAAGAGCUGCGUCGUCGCCCAUUUGCGGUUUCCGAUCGAUUCAUCCGCAGUAUUAGUAUCAUAGUAUGGGAGUAACUACUAUUUUGCAAUGCCGCUGCAUUUUUCCCGUGUUUACGGGAUCUCAUUUCCAUUGCUCACUUUUGAGGUUGGAACAUGUUGUAUUGGGGAAUAAAGGUUGGUAGAUGGUCAGUUGUCUUUAUAUUACCUUAUUCUUAUGUACGGUUGAGAGUUUAUGUUACAUACACCCACUCAAGGUUUGGUUUGCUUUUGUGAUGUCUAAGCAAGCAAGUUUGGCGAUCACUCUGUCCUAGAGGCAGAAUUCUUGUUCUCGGCAUUUUCGUAGAUUUUUCCGGUGCAGGAUUCUGUUGUAUUAGUAUGGUAACCAUUUUGCAAUGCCACGGCAUUUUCCCGCGUUUAUGGGAUCUCUUUCCCAUUGCUCGCUUUUGAGAUUGGAACAUGUUGUAUUCGGAAAUAAAGGUUGAUUGAUGUCUUCAGAUUAUCUGAUUCUUAUGUAUGGUUGAGAGUUUAUGUUACAAAUAGACCCACUCAAGGUUUGGUUGCUUUUUUGAUCUCUAGACAAGCAAGUUUGGCGAUCAUUGUCCCUAGAGGCAGAUUUCUUGUUCUCGGGAUUUUCGUAGAUUUUUCCGGUGCAGGAUUCUGUAGUAUUAGUAUGGUAAGUAUUUUGCAAUGCCACCGCAUUUUCCCACGCUUACAGGAUCUCUUUUCCAUUGCUCGCUUUUGAGAUUGGAACAUGUUGUAUUGGGGAAUAAAGGUUGAUUGAUGUCUUCAGAUUACCUGAUUCUUAUGUAUGGUUGAGAGUUUAUGUUACAGAGACCAACUCAAGGCUUGGUUGCUUUUUUGAUCUCUAAACAAGCAAGUUUGGCGAUUAUUAUCUUCUAGAGGCUCUUGUUGUUCUUGGGAUCUUGGUAGAUUUUCCGUGGUGCAGAAUUCUGUGGAAGAUUUGGUGCACUCUUUAUGUAUCCAUUUAUGUGAUUUGUCUAUUAUGUCGAGGACCAAGCACAGACCACACUGCAUCAUUACAUAUUUUUGGAUUUGGAGGUUGGUGAGCAGCAAGCUCCCGAGAGUUUGGUGGUGUACUAAGUACUUAUAUUUGCUGGUUCCAGUGUCCCUGUCUGUCUUGGCUCAGUCGCCGAGCCGAUACGACGAGGCACCAAAAUACAGAUGCGGGGAUGUGACGGCGGUUUGGUGCCGGCCAAGGACCGAAAUCACCAGCAGCUCUGAAGCUUCCAAACCGCACGUUGGUAAACAUGCCAUAUAUAGGCUGACGCCGUGUGUUCGUAACAGCAAGCUGCCUUGUGAAGCUGUGGGUUUCAUUUCAUACUUUUGAUAUACAUAUGGCCUGUUUGUUCUGACUUUUUUUUUUUUUGCAGUUUCUAUGUAGGCAAAAAUUCUUGCGUUAGUUCUUUGUUUAAUGGUGUUGGCUUAUGGUUUGAGUUCCUGCUGUGGGUCGUUUGAUCACUCCAUGUGGGUUUGCUUUUCACUCGAGACUAGGGAAAUAUAAGUCAUUCUUUUUACUAAUUCGGAAAGAAGAGAUUCAUCACGGUAACUAUCACUGGAAAACCAUGGAAUGCAAAGAAAAUCUCUGCAUAAUAAUAAUAUAUGAACCACUAUAUUUGCUCCCCAAGCUGCAUAAAUGAUCUACUCUAUCCGUCCCAAAAUAAGUGACUCAACUUUGUACUAGCUUUAUACUAAAGCUAGUACAAAGUUGAGUCACUUAGUUUGGGACAGAGGGAGUAUUACAUUAUCUUAUAAGUCACUAGCAUUUUUGCGCACACAGCCACUGGGCAGCACAUCACAGUGCAAAAGGACGAGGGAUGGUUCAAUUUCAUAGUCUCAUAAACAACGCUUGUUUGACGAUCAUCUCAUUCUUCGGAAUCUUGAUUACACUGUUGCUUCAAUCCUUCCUGCGGAGGAAGGAUUCCAAUGACGCGGGCGAUGUGAAUCUUCUUUCUGAUAUACUCCUCAUAGUACUUCGGCUUGUUAAUCUGAAAAGAGAAGAAAAAUAAAAUUUCACAGGCUAAAUCAUCAUCUUUCUAAAACAUGCAUAAUUAAGGCAGAUGUGUUUUCUUUCAUACUAUAUCACAGUACCCGCUUUCUAAUUCCCUCUGCAAUCAACGCCUUAGCUCCAUCCUCUUUAACCUGAAGGCAAGCAGACUACGUCACACAUACAAGAACAUAUUCCACUUGCAUGCCACAUACAAAAGACACUAUUGUACUUACUUCCGGGGUAAUGGCUGCCGUGCAGGCACGGUACUGAAGGAAGGAAGAUGAUAAGAAAUUAGCAUACAUGCAUACACAAAGGGAAUAAUAUUAAGUCAACAAAGUGCAGAUUAUCCAUAAACCUAAAGAGCCUACCUCCGAUUUCAUUCUCCCCAUGAUGUAGUCAUCCUCCAGUGCAACUUUCAUCCUAUGUUGGCGUAACGGAAACCUGCCCAAAUUAUAAACGUCCCCUAGAGCUUCUCUGAAGCUCAUCUGAACAAUUAUUCAAGGCAAAAGUCAUGCACUGCUAAGGAUAUACACAGUACUUGUAAAAACGAGAGAAAACUGGUGCGCAUUGCUGAUCAGUACUAACCAUUCGUUGCGUGACCCGCCCCCAAAUCUCAAAAUAGACACCAUCCAACUCCUUAAACCAAAAACUGUCAUAGCCCAUGCUCGCUAUACACUCCUGAACCGAAAGAUAGCAACUGUGCUGUGAGAUAUACUACAUUGUAAGCUACAUAGAAAUAAUUCAUGCGAGGGAACCUACAUGGUAGCCAUAGUAAGCUAAAGACGCGCUGAUCUUCGGGAAGGUAGUAGCAGCGAUCUUCAUUGCUUGGAAAGCUCCCCGGGAGGAUAUGCAGUCCCACUAGGCAACAAAAAUGUUGUGAGGGCGAUAAAAGACAUAUAUAGGCAACAGUGACAUUCCAAGAUUUUCGCAUAGCCAUACUUACCAUAUAAGAUGGCCGGCGAGCAUCUAGAUAACCUUCCAUCCACUGUUGGCAGCGUAAAAAAGGUCCUUAGUCCAAAAAGAAUAUCAAAGAAAUGAACAAAGGAAAUGACAUCUCCUUAACAUGAUCUGUGAUACAUACCUGUAGUUGCUUGAAUAGUUCCUCGCAGUAAUUGGCAUACUCUUCUUCAAUGACAUGGCUACAAAGGAAUUCGUGGUAGUCACUCCACCUGCCGUACUCAGUACCACCCUACAUUGAAAAGGAUAGAGAGAGAACACAUUGCUUAGAAAUUUUUAGAACGAUACACAACCUAAAUAUAGCUACUACUCCCUCCGUUCCUAAAUAUUUGUCUUUCUAGAGAUUUCAACAAGUGACUACAUACGGAGUAAAAUGAGUGAAUCUACACUCUAAAAUAUGUCUAUAUACAUCCGUAUGUGAUAGUCCAUUUGAAAUCUCUAAAAAGAUAAAUAUUUAGGAACGGAGGGAGUAGUAUAUUUGAGUUAGUCAGUCUGACCAGUUUAUAAGUUGAUAAAUUGACAAGUUAAACAUUUCAGAAUAUAAUAUUGCUCGUCUCAGGCAAAUAUUACUAAAGCUCACUAGAUGUAGCAUGAACUUGCACCUACAUUACAUGUAAUUGGCCUAUAAUCUGAACCCUGAUAUACUUUUUCCAUUAUUGUAAGCAAGAUCGCCUAGAGAUUGCACCUCUCACAGUGGGUAGUAUCAAACAUGAUACCAAUCUACUCCCUCCGUCCGUGAAUAAGUGUACAUCUAUCUUUUGUUCUAAGUCAAAGAUUUAGAAUUUUGACCAACUUUAUAGAAAAGAGUAGUAGCAUAUAUGAUAUCAAAUUGAUAUAUUAUGAAAGUACAUUUCAAAACGAAUCCAACGGUACUAAUUUAGUGCCAUAAAUGCUGCUACGUUUUCCUAUAAAAUUGGUCAAAGUUUUAAAACUUUGACUUAAGACAAAAGCUAGAUGUACACUUAUUCACGGACGGAGGGAGUACAAUACUACCUCCCCAAUGCAUAGUAUCAUAGGCGUCAUAUUUUAUACGACAUCUUUUGUUAUUUAUUAGGAUCCAUGGGAGAUGAACGCAUGGGAUCAAUCUAACUCUUUCUCCAUUCAAUGAUGUGUCACAUCAGCUAAAUGCCUACUUGGCACUGCUGCAUGAUACUCUCCUAUGAUAAUUUUGGAGAAUUUAGUGUGAUUAUAACAGCCAGACAGCUGUUCUAAUACAAUCAGCCACAAAUACAAAUAGAAGGACUAGUCAUGCAUAAGAAGAUAACUCAAUAAUUUCGGAGGACUAGGCGUUGGUAGUCACUAAGAGAAGGAUCUUUGCAGUAAUCAGGGUGGAAAUACCAAUCAAGUGUCCAAUUUUCCUCGAUUCUCUUGAAGUAUCCCCACUUCUUAAGAAACUGUCGAUCACACUCGUCCUCAGAAACGUCCUUAAGGCCCAACGUAUCGUCCUUCCCCUCCUCUUUCACCUGCAGACGAUGAGACGGCACGGCACGGCACAUAAUUAAGAUCAAACUAAAUGAAUACAGGAGGUUAAAUAACCCAGCACGUGUAGCAUAGAACAAGUAAAUGCAUGAUGUGUGAUGAUAGAUGGUUCUAUAUAUAGAUGGAACUGUGGACUGAACCUUGUGUUUGUAAGAUCUGAAGCGGUACAGCGCAAGGCGAACGGCUUGCUUGUCGAGCUCCUCGCCGGUCAGUUUGACAGCAUCGGGAUAGAUCCGAGGCAUGGAAGGUAGCUGAUCAAAGUAAGCGUUGAACUCGUCGUCGCUGACAUGCUCUCCUAUGCCCAGAUCAUUCAGCCUUUGGAUCAGAAGCUCCGCCUCUUUCACCUCUUCGUUUUCUUCCUCGGCAUGUAGUACAGUCUCGUCUGAAUCGGAUCUCUGAAGGUCCUUGGCAGUAUCAGGCUCCUUUGCAGGGUGGCCGUGCGCCGUGUGUCCACUCGAGAUGGCAUCGGCAUCCACCAUUGGGGUCUCCCCGCUCGAGACCGUGCGUGCCUUCUUUGUACGGCGCUUGGCGGCGGAUUCUUCGGAAUCCUGGGCGGUUGUGUUCCCGUGAAGGGCAGCCAGGGCGGCAGAUCCUCCCGUCGAGACCGUAGCCUUCGUCUGCGGCAUCUCUCCACUCGAGGCCACAGCAACUUCUCCUCGCUCGAGGCCGCCGCCCCCUCUCCGGGAUGCACCGUCGGCCGGCACCCCUCCGCCCGAGGCCGCGACAACCUUCUUCUGCAGGACCCCGCAGCCCGAGCCGGUACCCACCGGUCACCCCUUUACCGGAGGACUCUCGCAGUCUCGCUGCGUCGGGCAAACGCACACAGCAUGGCCCGGCCCAAGCGGCCCACUCACGUCCCCGUUUUUUCCGUUUCGAUUUUUUUUGUCAUGUUAAAAAGUGUGUGUUCGCUGAAAAACAUACUCCCUUGUACAGAAAAUAUAAACUCAAUUUGAAAGGAUAUGUGGAAGCUGAAAAUACCAGGGAAGAUAAAACAUUUUGCAUGAAAGUUUUGCAUGGCGCCCUCCCAUGCUUUGGUGUAUUAGCAAACCGACACAUCCCAUGCUCAGCUCAAUGUCCAGUUUGUUUAGUCGGAGCAGAAGACAUUCAACACUGCUUAUUUAAGUGUCGACGAGCGACAGAUAUUUGGGAGCGGCUGGGCUUGCUACAAGUCGAGCUGUCACCGAGGAUAGAUCAGGAUCUAUUACGAUGGAAAUUUUAUCAAAGCUUCAGAGCAAUGAUGUGGAGGUACCAACGGCAGAGCUUGCAGUUGUAGCAGCAUGGUAUAUAUGGUGGCAGCGCCGGCAUAUAGUGAAGGGAGUCAAAGUCCAAACGCCAGAAAAAACUGCAGUAGCCAUCAAGGUUUUGGCGACAAAUUACCUCAGGUCAACUAUACCCAAAGGAUCAAUAAGGAAGAAUGACCACAUGUGAAGGAAACCAGGACAUGGGAUCGUGAAGAUAAAUGCUGAUGCUUCCUUUCAGUAUGAAACACUUUCAUGUGCUUGUGGUGUUGUGGCUCGGGACGACCGGGGUGAUUUUAUUGCCGCAGCAAGUUGGUUUGUUCCAAACAUCAGUGGAGUUGACUCAGCUGAGCUAACUGCCAUCAGAAACGGAAUGUACUUGGCAACUCACAUUGGAUGCAACAACAUAUAAAUUGAAUCAGAUUGUUCUUUCGCGGUGGACUCGGUGAACCAAGUUGAUGAUUAUUUAGGCCCAGAGAUAGCUAUCAUCACAGAGUGUAAAGAGCUUAUGAUGGAUUUUGCGUCCAUAUCCUUCAAACAUUGCUAUAGAGGGUCCAAUCAAGUGACAGAUGAAUUAGCAAAGAACUCUUUUACUACUAGAUUCUCUAGUUCUUGGGAUGAUGAGAUCCCAGAUUUUAUUUCUCAUCUGCUUGUAAAUGACAUGUCUAUUAUUUAAGAAAUAAAGUCUAUUUGAGGUAAAAAAAACUUGAGUCAUUUAUUUUGGGACGGAGAAAAUAUAUAAAAAAUGUGUUGUAAAAAGAACGAAAAUAAAACUACAGAAAAUAAAAAAAAUGCUCACGUAGACACAUGUGAAUGUUCCAGAAAAAUUCAAAUGUUUGAGUAUAUAUUUUUUCUAAACCAAUAAAUAAAAAGAAGUUUAUGCUCUAUUCUUAGCUCAACAGAUGUUCCAUCAUAUUACAAUCUGACUACACAGGUAAUUGCAACAUCGUGCGAUGGGGGGUUGCCCCUGUAUGGCUCUGCUAUUUUCCAUGGUUGUGCUAUGAGAACUAGUGAGUUUUUGAUGAAGUUAGAUUCCGAUUUUAUUGGAGUCAAAUUUGUGACUGUUUUAUAUACUAGCCGCACAAACACAAUCUCCAUACAAUACAUAUCUUAAAAUCAUUCAAAUUAAAGCACGGAUAGCAAUAAUCGUCAUAACAUAAACUUCGCAUUUUUCAAAUUUAAACAUGCAAAGUUCAUCCAAAAGACAUCACUUUAAACAAAAUAUUUUAUUCAAUGAAAUAUGUAUUUGGCAACCGUGUGGCAGAUUGCAAAACUGCCACACGCAUCAACCGCCGUCAGAUCCGACCGCCGUCCUGAUUUCCUUCCUGAUUUUCAGGCAAAAAUAAUGCUUGGAUUGGGAUUUGGUCUCUGGUCUGCAGGUAAUCAACGAAGGGAGCUAACCACCUCACCUAUGAUACUCAUUGUUGAACAAGAUAAGGAAAAUACUGUUUUUGACAUGCUUUGCCUUUAAUAUGUUAGCACUGAAAAACUUUUUGUUUCACCUAUCAAACCUGGCACAUAAACUUUUCCCGUGGUAAAUUCUCCAUCACCACCAGGACAAAUGACACAGCACCAACAUGAUAACUUUUGUAUAUCACGCGGUACAUUAUGUGUAAGUAGCAUGGUCAUAAGCACUGAAGGCGUGAUAACUUUGGUGAAAGCAUUAUGGUAACUUUGAUCAUUGGGAAGAAAUUUGUNNNNNNNNNNNNNNNNNNNNNNNNNNNNNNNNNNNNNNNNNNNNNNNNNNNNNNNNNNNNNNNNNNNNNNNNNNNNNNNNNNNNNNNNNNNNNNNNNNNNNNNNNNNNNNNNNNNNNNNNNNNNNNNNNNNNNNNNNNNNNNNNNNNNNNNNNNNNNNNNNNNNNNNNNNNNNNNNNNNNNNNNNNNNNNNNNNNNNNNNNNNNNNNNNNNNNNNNNNNNNNNNNNNNNNNNNNNNNNNNNNNNNNNNNNNNNNNNNNNNNNNNNNNNNNNNNNNNNNNNNNNNNNNNNNNNNNNNNNNNNNNNNNNNNNNNNNNNNNNNNNNNNNNNNNNNNNNNNNNNNNNNNNNNNNNNNCAUUCACGCCAUAGACCUGAUAAUUUAGAUAUAAAUAUCAUGGUAACUUUAAUCAUCGGGGAAGUAAAAUGUGAAAAUAUACCCGAUAAUUUAUGUGUAAAUAGAUGGCAAUAUACGCAGCACACAUCUGAUAACUGAGGUAGACACACCAUGGUAACUUUGACCAUAGGGAAGAUUUUUUUGAAAAGAUACCCCGGUAUUGUAAGGGCAUAUUUCACCCUAUGUGGUUUUGGUGAUUGAUGACAAUGCAUUUGCAGACUAAUCGUGUGCAUUGAGCAUUUCAGAUAUCUCAUGUCUAGGCACAAGACGAUUCGGUGCCGCUCGGAGCCUAGUGAAGACGGUGUUUCUCUACGUUUCUUUUCGAUGGAUUUGAGUCAUAGGAAAGCCAUACUAUUAAGAGGGGAUCCGCUUCGGAAAGGUUAGGGCGGAAUCAACACAUACACGUAUGGUCCUUUGCACGAUCUUUCCUCUACUUCUUUGGAGUACCGACCGCUUACCCGUGUCUCUACAAAAUGAAGGCCUCCAAGCGCUAAGUGUUCUGUGGCAUGCGAUAGUACUGCUUAAGGGAGCAGUAGUACCGCAGAGGCCCACGGUAGUACCGGCCAGGGAAGCGGUAGUACCGCGCCACGCGGUAGUACCGCUCCUCAGGCGCGGUAGUACCGUGGCCUCUAGCCCAGCACAAGGACAUGCGCGGAAGUAGGCACGGAAGUAAUUUUUUACAUCCGCGCCCUACGUGGUAGUACCGCUCCCUACAUGCGGUAUUACCGUGUGGGAUUUUUCCACAGAUCGAAACUUAGCGGAAGUAGCCACGGAUGUAAUUUUAUUAGUCUGUGCCUUCCCAGCCUAGACAAACCCUGCCUUGCUGUAGUACCGCAAGGACGCGCGGUAGUACCGCUCGUUGCUUUAACGCAAUAGGGGCUCGUCUGGAUCCUUCCGCGCAAGCGGUAGUACCAUAGUGCCUUGCGGUAGUACCGCAGGCUUGUGCGGUAGUACCGUAUGUUUGUGCGGUAGUACCACAUGUCGCGGGCUGAGUAAGUGGGUAACGGUUGACCACCUCUUCCUUCCCUAAGCUCCAUUGUUGCUCCAAGAUCCAUUUUCGCCUGAUCUCUCUCCCUAACCAAUCAAACCUGUUGAUUCUCUAUGGAUUGGUUGAGAAGGCCCCGAUCUACACUUCCACCAAGAUAAAUUUGAUUCCUCCCACUAAUCCCUAGCGGAUCUUGUUACUCUUGGAUGUUUGAGCACCCUAGACGGUUGAGGUCACCGCGGAGCCACUUUCCAUUAUGGUGAAGCUUCAUGGUGUCAUUGGGAGCCUCCAAUUAAGUUGUGGAGAUUGCCCCAACCUUGUUUGUAAAGGUUCGGUCGCCAUCUCCAAAGGCACCAAUAGUGGAAUCACGACAUCUCGCAUUGUGUGAGGGCGUGAGGAGAAUACGGUGGCCCUAGCAUCUUCUUGGGAAGCACUGUGCCUCCACACCGCUUCAAUGGAGACGUACUUCCUCUCAAAGGGAAGGAACUUCGGUAACACAUCCUCGUCUCCACCGACUCCACUCUUGGUUAUCUCUCACCUUUACUUGUGAAGCUUAUUUUGUGUUGUAUCUCUUGCUUGCUUGCGUGCUUGUUAUUGUUGCAUCAUAUAGGUUGCUCAUCUAGUUGCAUAUCUAGAAAACCUAUUUUGAUGCAACGUUUAAUUUGGUAAAGAAAAGCUAAAAAUUAUUAGUUGCCUAUUCACCCCCCUCUAGUCAACCAUAUCGAUCCUUUCAAUUGGUAUCAGAGCCUCGUCUCUUUAUUAAGGACUCUACCAUCUGAAUAGUAUGGUUAACACCGUAGAUGGUGAGGAGGAGUACCCCAGUGUGAAUCCAUCCUCGUCUACGACCGAUGGGGGAUCCUCGGUCUCUCAUGAGGAAUUCAACGCGGCUUUGGACACAUUGAAAACCUCCAUGACGACCGAGGUCAAAGGCAUGUUCAAGGAGUUUCUUGAUGGUCUUAAAUUAUCCACCGCAUCGUUGGAAGUGGGCGAUCCCACUAACAAGGUGACGGAUGCUAACUCCGAUAAGGGGGAAGCUUCUAGUGAUAAAGUUCCUUUGCCUAGUGGUAGAAGUGGAAAGGACAUCUUUGCCAAUGUUGAACCACCUCUUACUUAUGGAGGACUGGUUCCCUCCACUCAUUUGAAUCAUGUUGGUCCUCCUCCUAAGUUUGUGAAAAAUGAGGAUUUUGCUUCUUGGGUCUACUGUUUUAAACGCCAUUUAAAUCAUAGUUCUACUAAUCUUUGGAGAAUUAUUGAGCAAGGUUUCUACCCGCAUGACCCAAGCAACCUCACUACUAGAGAAGCCGCGGAUCAUCAUUCAACGAGUCUGCUCUCUUCAUUAUUCAAGAUGCAAUUCCACCCGAAGAUAUUGCGCAUCUCCGACCUUUCACGGUGGCCAAGGAAGCAUGGCAACAUGUUGUUUCCGUUAUAAGGGAAGCGCAAGCAUUCAAAGCUCCAACUAUGAAGUGGUGCAAGAUGAAUUCGAUGAGUUUGCGAUGAAUGAAGAUGAAGAACCUCGUGAGCUCUACCGGAAUUAACCACUCUCGCGUCUCACUCUGAGAUCAUGGGAGCUAGGAUGUAGAUGACAAUUGGAUCAAGCGCAAAUUUCUCAAGGCCAUGAUGCCCUACCAUAAGGCCAUGUCAUUCGUCAUCUUUCAAAGGCCGGACUUCCAUACCUUGUCCUCAAAUGAAGUGUUGGAUGAGUUUGUUGCCAUGAGAAUCUUGGACAAGACCGCCGACAAUGCGGUGAUGCGCUCUCAAUGAGUGAAGAAACCCGACCUUGCUUUGAAGGCCAAGGCUUGUGUGGAAGAAGAGGAAGAAGAGGAAGAAGAGGAGAGUAACCCCGAAGAUACAAAAUAUGAUUAUCAUGAGCACAUGGCUCUCACUUCAAGGCAAUUUUGGAGCAAGAAGAACUCAAGGCCCAACUUCAACAAGAACAACUCAAGUGGCACCAAGGGCAAGCAACGUGUGAGAACAUGCUAUAGUUGUGGCAAUGUGAGCCACUUUGUUGCGGAGUGCCCAUACAAGAAGCGAGAAUACAAUGGUCACAAGCUUAUCCGAAAAGACAAAGCCGAGUUCUUCCCCAACAAGAACAACUUCACCAAGAAGACUCCUCCCAAGGGGUUGGUGGCACAAGAAGAGUACAAUGAGGAUGAUGAUGAUGAAGACGGUGAGAUGAUGGCCAUGGCCUCUGUUGCCAUUGCCACAACUCCACGGGUGUCCCUCUUUGACUCACCCAAUGAGAACAUCACCGCCAAGUGCCUCAUGGCCAAAGCCACCAACAAGGUAACCCCCAACAUCAAAACUACCAUCACUACUAAUCCUUCCUUGACGGAUUGCAUUGAUGAAAGUGAGGGGUCUAAUGAGGAAGUAAAUGAAUUUGAGUCUUUUAUGAGUAAGCUCAAGGGUAAAUCCAAGAAGCACUUUGUUGCUCUCUUGGAACAACUUGGUGAAGCCAAUGACAUGAUCGAGGCUCACGAAGAAACCAUCUCUAAGAUGGAAGGACAUAGUCGUGACAUGCCGAUGAGAUAUCGGAUCUCUCUAAUGCGCUUGAGGAAGAGCGUGGUCAUCGUUUGGCUCUUGAGGAGUCACACAACAAUGAUCAUGCUUAACUAAAGAAAGAUCUUGAUCAUGCUCUUGUUGUAUCUUGUGUGCUCAAUACCGAGAAGGCUAAACUUGGGGUUGACCAUGCUAGACUCAAGGAGGAGUUUGAGAUACUUGACAAGGCUCACAAGGCCUUGAAGGGUGCUCAUGCUAGUCUCAAGGAGUCUCAUGAUCAACUCCAAGUGAAGCUAACCAAGGACAAAGCCACAUUUCCUCAUAUGGUCUUAAUUGAUAAUGCAAAUGCUACUAACCCGUGUUGUGAGCAUGUGCAUCUUGUGGAGGAGAAUGCCAAGUUGAAGGAGAAACUUGAGAAAGGCCUUGUGUCUUGCAUACAAGGUGAGAAGAACCUCAACGAUCUUUUGAGCAAUCAAAAGGAAGUUGUGGGCAAGGAGGGAAUUGGGUUUGCACCCAAGUCCAAGAACAAGAAGAAGAAUGACAAGGCCAAACAACCUCUUUCUCCCAAGCAAACUUUUGUGAAGGAGGGAGAGGGUGAUCCUAAGGAUAAGAAGAGGAACAAUGUGAAGGGUCGUGGUGCCAAGAAGGGCAUUGCCACCCUUUCCAAUAAAGCCAGCGACUUUAACCCUUCUUAUGUGUUAUGUCGUGCUAGUGAUGGGCAUGUUUAUGCCAAAUUUGUUGGUUCUCCUUAUGAGUACAUUGAAUGGUCUAUUUGGGUUCCUAAGACCCUUGUUACUAACAUCAAAGGACCCAUUACAAAAUGGGUACCUAAAACAAAUCAUUGAUCUCUUGUAGGUGUUUGCUUUCAGUGGGGGAUCAUGGUUGCUCGAUAGUGGAGCCACAAAUCAUAUGACCGAAAGCAAGGACUUGGUGGUGGACGUGCACAAGGUCUCAUCUAUGCCCACCAAUGUCGAGUGGGGUGAUGCCUCGUCUUCUAAGGUAUUGGGUCUUGGCAAGGUUGUCAUUUCUCAUGAUCUCACGAUCGAGAAAGUCAUGCUUAUUGAGUCCCUUGCAUACAGUUUACUUUCCGUUCAUCAACUUGCACUCAUGGGCUUUGCCACUUUCUUUGAUAUUGAUACCGUGGCCCUCCCGUGGAGCAAGACUCUUAAAGUAGCCUUUGUUGGGCAUGUCGAGAACGGUCUUUAUGUGAUUAACUUUUUGGAGCGACCCACUAAGACCGCGACAUGCCUAAUGGCUAAAGUUGACGUGGGAUGGCUUUGGCAUCCCACGUUUAGCCCACGUCAAUAUGAGAUCUUUGCAAAGUCUUCUCAAGGGGGACCAUGUCCGUGGACUAACAAAUGUUAGUUUUGCCAAAGAUCAUCCUUGCAGUGCUUGUAUCGAAGGAAAGCUACAUGAGAAGGCUCACCCUCCCACGACUAUCAUCUACUCGAAGAGACCCUUGGAGCUCCUUCACUUGGACCUCUUUGGGCCUCCAUCCUUUGAUAGUCUUGGGCGUAGAAAGUAUUUAUUGGUGAUUGUGGAUGAUUAUUCAAGAUACACUUGGGUAUAUUUAUUCAAGAGGAAGAGUGAAACUCAAAAAACUGUCAUCGACUUUCCAAAUGAAGCUCAACGUCAACACAAUGCAAAGAUCUUGACAAUAAGAAGUGACAAUGACACCAAGUUCAAGAACUACACCUUGGAUGAGUUUCUUAGUGAUGAGGGGAUCAAGAAUCAAUAUUCCGCACCUUACACCCCUCAACAAAAUGGUGUAGCGGAGAGGAAGAACCGAACGUUGAUGGACGCGGCAAGGACCAUGAUGGCGGAGUUCAAAUCUUCCUACAACUUUUGGGCCGAAGCCAUCAACACCACUUGUCAUGCAUCCAAUCGGCUCUAUCUUCGCAAGGGCUUGAACACGACUCCAUAUGAGAUACUUACCGGUAACAAGCCCAACCUCAAGUACUUCCGGGUAUUCGGUUGUAAGUGUUUCAUUCUCACGCAAUGUGUUCGUUUGUCUAAAUUUGAGGCUAGAGCUCAUGAGGGCAUAUUUGUUGGUUAUGCUACAAACUCUCAUGCUUACCGUGUCCUCAACAAGUCCACGGGACUCAUUGAGGAGACGUGUAAUGUGGAGUUUGACGAGAAUAAUGGCUCCCAAGUGGAGCAAAGUGGUACUUGUGAUGUAGGUGAUGAAAUUCCUCCCCAAGCCAUAAGAAGAAUGGGUGUUGGUCAUAUCCUACCCAUUGAGGAACCCCUUAUGGCUGAAGGAGAAGGACAAAGCUCCACUCAAGUGGAGCCAUCACCAACCCAAGAUCCACAUGCUUCCAAAGAACAAAGUGAAGGCCCUCAACCAAGUGAAUAAGAUCAAGGGCAAGAUCAAUCUCAAGAUGGUGGUGAACCACCAAGUGAUGCCCAAGGUCAAGUUCUCCCUCCCGAGCAAGUUCAAGAUCAAGAUCAAGAACAAGCUCAUGACGACGCUCAAGAUGAUCAAGUUUCUGCUCCUCAAAUAUCUCUUGAGGAGGAAUUGGAGUGUUGUGCCGCCAAGAUUGCUUCCAAGCUCACUACCAAAGAUCAUCUUAUGAAGAAUGUGCUUGGAAGUUUGAGAAAAGGGGUAAACACUCAUAGAAAAUUGGCAAACUAUUGUGAACAUCACGUGUUUGUUUCUUGUGUUAAACCUCAAAAGGUCCAUGAGGCACUCGAUGAUCCAGUUUGGCUCAAUGCCAUGCAUUAAGAACUCAACAAUUUCGAGCACAACAAGGUGUGGAGAUUGGUGCCAAGGCCAACGGGGAACCAUAAUGUCAUUGGAACCAAGUGGAUAUUCAAGAACAAGCAAGAUGCUCAUGGAAUUAUCGUUCACAACAAGGCUCGUUUGGUAGCACAAGGCUACUCCCAAGUCAAGGGUAUAAACUAGGAUGAAACCUUUGCUCCUGUUUCUCACCUUAAAUCUAGUCAUUUGUUGAUUGCUUAUGCUUCUUGUCAUAACUUCAAGUUGCAACAAAUGGAUGUGAAGAGUGCUUUUCUUAAUGGUCCUAUUAGUGAGUUGGUGUAUGUCAAACAACCCCCGAGGUUUGAGGAUCCCAAGUUCCCCAAUCAUGUGUACCAACUUGAUAAGGCACUCUAUGGCCUUAAACAAGCCCCACGUGCAUGGUAUGAGCACCUUACCGAGUUGUUGCAAGAUUGUGGGUUUGAAAGUAGGAAAAUCGACCCCACUCUUUUUACUAAGAAGGUCAAAGGGGAGUUGUUUGUAUGUCAACUAUAUGUUGAUGAUAUUAUCUUUGGUUCCCCUAACAAAGCUUUCAAUGAGGAAUCUGCCGCUCUCAUGACCUCGAAGUUCAAGAUGUCUAUGAUGGGAGAGUUGAAGUUCUUUCUCGGGUUCGAAAUUAAGCAAAGAAGAGAAGGAACCUUCAUCAACCAAGCCAAAUACACACAAGACAUGCUCAAGAGAUUCAAGCUAAGUGAUGUCAAGCCGGCUUCCACUCCAAUGCCUGUCAAAUGCCAACUUGACAUAGAUCCCAAUGGUAAAGCGGUUGAUCAAAAGGUAUAUCGUUCCAUGAUUGCCCCCUUGCUUUACCUUUGUGCAUCUAGACCGGAUAUCAUGUUGAGUGUGGGAAUUUGUGCACAGUUUCAAGCCGCACCUAAGGAAAGCCACUAUGUGGCGGUCAAGCGAAUCUUUUGAUAUUUGGCUCAUACCCCAAACUUUGGCUUAUGGUACCCAAGAGGAGCCAACUUCAACCUUUUGGGCUAUUCAGACUCGGAUUGGGUGGGAGACAAAGUGGAUAGGAAGUCAACCUCCGGAGGGUGCCAAUUUAUUGGUUGCUCUUUGGUGAGUUGGUCUUCUAAGAAGCAAAGUUGUGUGUCUCUCUCGUCCACCGAAGCGGAGUAUGUGUCCGCGGGUAGUUGUUGUGCUCAACUUCUAUGGAUGAGGCAAACUUUAAAGGAGUGCCUCUUUGGUGUGACAAUGUCAUUUGUGACGAAGUGCCUCUUUGGUGUGACAAUGAAAGUGCCAUCAAGAUCUCUCUCAACCCAGUGCAACACUUCAAGAUAAAGCAUAUUGAGAUUUGGUAUCACUUCAUCCGGGAUCACAUUAGGCAAGGGGAGAUCCAGCUCAAAUAUGUCAACACUCAUGAUAACCUUGCAGAUAUUUUCAUGAAGCCCUUGGAUGAAGCAAGAUUUCGCGAGUUAAGGCAUGAGCUAAAUAUCAUUGAUUCGAGCAAUGUGGCUUGAACCCUUGCACAUCCCACCAUACUCAUCUUGAUAUCUUGUUUAGGUGUAGGCAUGGACAUAGGGGGGGUGUUUUUUUGAGAACUACAUAGGGGGAGUGUUGUUCUCUCAAUGAACUCUCCCUCCCCCGAUUAUGCAUAAAUUGAUCAACUAUUUCACAUUAACCAUUUUUUAUGGUACUUGUGCUUCAAAGACGAGUUUUGGUCAUGGGCCCAAGGAUAAUUCUUUGCGGUGCCAUACCAAUUGACUCAAACAUAGGUGGCUCCGGCCACCGCCCUCUCUUCUAGAGAGGUUUGUUUCGUGUUUGGUCCUUGUUGUCUUUUGCCUUCUUUUUGAGCCGUGUUUGUGUUUGAGUUGCCUCGUGUGUGUGCUCGUUUGCGUGUCUGGCUGCUUGAAGGUUGCUUUGCAAAGGCCAUGUUUCUUUGUUCUGUCAAAAUGUGCACUUUCUUGGGCUUACGGUACUACCGUGGCAAGCCACGGUACUACCGCAGGAGAUGGGUUACCCUACGCGCGCACAGGUGCAUCUGAGGCAUGGUACUAUCGCUUCCAUCACGAUAGUAAUUUUUUACCGCCGCUGGAAGAGCGAUACUACCACCCUAUGUGCGAUACUUCCACUCGGGCGGUACUACCAUGAUGACCCGCGGUACUACCAUGCCGUCACGAGCAAGUGGGGGUCAAGAGCGGGCAGGGGGAGUUCCAACUCCCCCAUACCCAUUCAACUCUGUUUCCCCACUUCGUCUCUCUCUCUCUCCUGCCCAAGAAUGACGCCAGAGGACCUCGCUGGAUCUCUGUCUCUGGCUGCUCUCCUCGCAUUCCGACUGGUGGGAUCGAUCCCCACCUCGCCCUCUUUCCAUGGAACAAGGUUUCUCCCUAAGUCCUUCUCUCUUUGCCUCGUAGUUUUGCUUCUAGGUUUUGGGAGAUGCAUGUCUUGUUCUUGAGAUUUUUUGCUAAGUCAUUACAAGAGGAGGGUGUAGGAGAGUGCUAGUGUUGUAGAGAUGCUAUUUGGUAUGUUGCAACACGAUAAUUUUGAUCAACCGUAGUACCGAUCCAAAUUUGCGGAUGUGCUAGAUCCGUUCUUGCCAGAUUUAUUUCCGUGCGGUACUACCGCGCCUCCCAUGCGGUACUACCGCUCUAGCGAGAUCCGCCUCGUACGGUACUACCGCUCCUCUGGAGCGGUACUACCGCUCGGCGCGUGGAAGUAAAAGUUUACUUCGGCUCUAGGUACGGUACUACCGUGCCAUCCUGGCGCAGUACUACCGCGGCUAGAGUAGAUGUAAAUUUUUAUGUCCGCCUCAUGGUGCGGUACUACCACUGACAUCAGAACUAUCUUGUUGCGACUACUCAAUCUUAUUUCUACUUGUUUCAUUUGUUUUGGCCUUGGUCUUUGCAAUGACCCUUGUUCUUCUCAUGUGUUUUGUGUUGUGUGUCAUAUGUGGUGGCUUCAAUGUCCAUCGCUCGAAUCCCAGCCACGACACGGGCUCUAAGCAACUUCACAAUCAAGAAGGCUCUAAGGGCUCCAAUGCCCAACAACGCAAUGUCAAGAAGAACACCAACAAUUUCAAGGAGCCAACUCUUGGCAUGGAUGAGAUGCCUCAAGCCGAUUUCAUCAUUCGAAGGAGGAUUAACCCCUGUGAACCCUCAUGAGAUUGUCAGAGGGAAUGAGUUGUUCUGGACCAAGCAGCAGAAUCUCAUCUACAUCGAUGUGAUCAAGUCCAAGCACCACAUCUAUGUUCCAAUGCAGUUGAUUGAUAUGAAUCAUCUAAGGAAGGAUCAGGAAUACUUUGGUGAUGCAUUGGACUUGGUGGAGCAGUUUGGCAUUGAAGACUUUAUCUCGUUCCACAUGGACUUUGACCCAGAGAUAGUAGCUUAGUUAUUUGCUUCCGUCCACUUCCACACGGAUGGGGAGCGGACUAUGACUUGGAUGACAAAUGGGAAGAGGAUGUCUGCUAAUUGGAAGGAAUUCAUGGAGAUGGUGCAUGUUCGUGAUGAGGGGCUCGAUGUGCCCGUUGGUGGCCGCCCUCACGGCAACUCAGAGUCCGCCAACAAGAACAAGCUUCAACCAUUCCUUGUGGAGAAGAAGUUAUCCAACGGUAAGCAGUCUUGGGUGCUCAACCCUUUCCUCGAUGUCAUGCACCGGAUCUUCCGCAACAAUCUCUUUCCGCGCAUUGGUGACAAGGAUAAGGUGCAUGCUUAUCUCGUGGAUAUGUUGCUUCUGUGUGAGGAGGUGCAUCAUCAUGCUACCCAACCUUUGGACAUCUCUCAUAUCAUGUGGGUUGAGCUCCGGUUUCCGGUCUACAAUCACAAAGUUCCCAUCUAUGGUCCAUACCUACACCUCUUGAUCUCGAAGACUUGGGAGAAGCUCUAUCCGAAGGAAGACUUUUCUGCUCCAAACUGGGUUCACCACGAGCCUAUCAAGCUGCGUUAGAAGAACAAGUGGGCCAAUACCACUACCAGGGCUGAGGCGGAGGCUGUGCUACCUCUUGAGCUUGCGUUGGUUUUUGCCUUGAAGAGAAAAAGGUGAUGCAGCAAAGUAGCGUAAGUAUUUCUCUCAGUUUUGAGAACCAAGGUAUCAAUCCAGUAGGAGACGACGCACAAGUCACCUAGUACCUGCACAAACAAUCAAGAACCUUGGAACCAACGCGAUAAAGGGGUUGUUAAUCCCUUCACGUUCACUCGCAAAAGUGAGAUCUAAUAAAGAUAGUAAAGUAAAUAUUUUUGGUAUUUUUGUUGUAUAGAUUGGAAAGUAAAGAAUGCAAAAUAGUAAACGAGAUUUAAAGAGAUGCAAUAUAAUGGAAAAGAGACCCGGGGACCAUAGGCUUCACUAGUGGCUUCUCUCAAGAUAGCAUGUAUUAUGGUGGGUGAACAAAUUAAUGCCGAGAAAUUGAUAGAAAAGCGCAUAAUUAUGAAGAUAUCUAAGGCAAUGAUCAUGAACAUAGGCAUCACGUCCGUGUCAAGUAGACCGAAACAAUUCUGCAUCUACUACUAUUACUCCACACAUUCGACCGCUAUCCAGCAUGCAUCUAGAGUAUUAAGUUCAUAAGAAUGGAGUAACGCAUUAAGCAAGAUGACAUGAUGUAGAGGGAUAAACUCAAGCAAUAUGAUAUAAACCCCAUCUUUUUAUCCUCGAUGGAAAUAAUACAAUAUGUGCUUUGCUGCCCCUACUGUCACUGGGAAAGGACACUACAAGAUUGAACCCAAAGCUAAGCACUUCUCCCACUGCAAGAAAGAUCAAUCUAGUAGGCCAAACUAAACCGAAAAUUCAAAGAGACUUGCAAAUAUAUCAAAUCAUGCAUAUAAGAAUUCAAAGAAGAACCAAAUAAUAUUCAUAGAUAAUCUUGUUCAUAAAUCCACAAUUCAUCGGAUCUCGGCAAACACACCGCAAAAGAGUAUUACAUCAAAUAGAUCUCCAAGAACAUCGAGGAGAACUUUGUAUUGAGAAUCAAAGAGAAAGAAGAAGCCAUCUAGAUAAUAACUAUGGACCCGAAUGUCUGUGGUAAACUACUCACGCUUCAUCGAAGAGGCAAUAGUGUUGAUGUAGAAGCCCUCCGUGAUCGAUCCCCCCUCCGGUAGAUCACCGGAAAAGGCCCCAAGAUGGGAUCUCACAGUUACAGAAGGUUGUGGUGGUGGAAAAGUAGUUUCGUGGCUCCCCCUGAUGUUUCUAGGGUAUAAGAGUAUAUAUAGGCGAAAGAAGUACGUCGGUGGAGCUACGAGGGGCCCAUGAGGGUGGGGGGCGUGCCUACCCCCCGGGCGCGCCCUCCUGCCUCGUGGACGCCUCGUGGCAUUUCUGACUUCAACUCCAUGUCUUCUGGUUUGCUUUCGGUCCAUGAAAGAUCAUCGUGAAGGUUUCAUUCCCUUUGGACUCCGUUUGGUAUUCCUUUUGUGCAAAACACUAAAAUAGGCAAAAAAAAGAAACUAGCACCGGGUCUCCGGUUAAUAGGUUAGUCCCAAAAAUAAUAUAAAAGAGCAUAUUAAAGCCCAUUAAACAUCCAAAACAGAUAAUAUAAUAGCGUGGAACAAUCAAAAAUUAUAGAUAUGUUGGAGACGUAUCAAGCAUCCCCAAGCUUAAUUCCUGCUCGUCCUCGAGUAGGUAAAUGAUAAAACAAAAUUUUUGAUGUGGAAUGCGACCUAGCAUAUUUAUCAAUGUAAUUUUUUAUUGUGGCAUGAAUGUUCAUAUCCAAAAGAUUCAAGACAAAAGUUUAAUAUUGACAUAACAAGAAUAAUACUUCAAGCAUACUAACAAAGCAAUCAUGUCUUCUCAAAAUAACAUGGCCAAAUAACGCUAUCCCUACAAAAUCAUAUAGUCUGGUUAUGCUCUAUCUUCAUCACACAAAGUAUUUAAUCAUGCACAACCCCGAUGACAAGCCAAGCUAUUGUUUCAUACUUUUGAUGUUCUUAAACUUUUUCAAUCUUCACUCAAUACAUGAGCGUGAGCCAUGGACAUAGCACUAUAGGUGGAAUAUAAUGGUGGUUGUGGAGAAAACAAAAAAGGAGAAGAUAGUCUCACAUCAACUAGGCGUAUCAACAGGCUAUGGAGAUGCCCAUUAAUAGAUAUCAAUGUGAGUGAGUAGGGAUUGCCAUGCAACGGAUGCACUAGAGUUAUAAGUGUAUGAAAGCUCAACAAAAGAAACUAAGUGGGUGUGCAUCCAACUUUCUUGCUCACGAAGACCUAUGGCACUUUUGAGGAAGCCCAUCAUUGGAAUAUACAAGCCAAGUUCUAUAAUGAAAAAUUCCCACUAGUAUGAAAGUGACAACAUGGGAGACUCUCUAUCAUGAAGAUCAUGGUGCUACUUUGAAGUACAAGUGUGGUAAAAGGAUAGUAGCAUUGCCCCUUCUCUCUUUUUCUCUCUUUUUUUAUUUUUUUAUUUGGGCCUUUUCUCUUUUUUAUGGCCUCUUUUUUUCCGUCCGGAGUCUCAUCCCGACUUGUUGGGGAAUCAUAGUCUCCAUCAUCCUUUCCUCACUGGGAUAAUGCUCUAAUAAUGAAGAUCAUCACACUUUUAUUUACUUUACAACUCAAGAAUUACAACUCAAUACUUAGAACAAAAUAUGACUCUAUGUGAAUGCCUCCAGUGGUGUACCGGGAUGUGCAAUGAUUCAAGAGUGACAUGCAUGAAAAAUUAUGAACGGUGGCUUUGCCACAAAUACGAUGUCAACUACAAUAUGAAAAUGAUGGAGCGUGUCAUAAUAAACGGAACGGUGGAAAGUUGCAUGGAAAUAUAUCUCAGAAUGGCUAUGGAAAUGCCAUAAUAGGUAGGUAUGGUGGCUGUUUUGAGUAAGGUAAUGGUGGGUGUAUGGUACCGGUGAAAGUUGCGCGGUACUAGAGAGUCUAGCAAUGGUGGAAGGGUGAGAGUGCAUAUAAUCCAUGGACUCAACAUUAGUCAUAAAGAACUCACAUACUUAUCACAAAAAUUAUUAGUUAUCCAAACGAAGUACUACGCGCAUGCUCCUAGGGGGAUAGAUUGGUAGGAGAAGACCAUCGCUCGUCGCCGACCGCCACUCAUAAGGAAGACAAUCAAUAAAUAAAUCAUGCUCCAACUUCAUCACAUAACGGUUCAGCAUACGUGCAUGGUACGGGAAUCACAAACUUUAACUCAAGUAUCUCUCAAAUUCACAACUACUCUACUAGCAUGACUCUAAUAUCACCAUCUUCAUAUCUCAAAAUAAUCAUAAAGAAUCAAACUUCUCAUAGUAUUCAACGCACUUUAUAUGAAGGUUUUUAUUAUACCCAUCUUGGAUGCCCAUCAUAUUAGGACUAAUUUUAUAACCAAAGCAAUUUACCAUGAUUUUCUAAAAGACUCUCAAAAUAAUAUAAGUGAAGCACUAGAGAUAAACAAUUUCUAUAAAAUAAAACCACCACCGUGCUCUAAAAAGAUAUAAGUGAAGCACCAGAGCAAAAUUGUCUAGCUCAAAAGAUAUAAGUGAAGCACAUAGAGUAUUCUAAUAAAUUCCGAUUCAUGCGUGUCUCUCCCAAAAGGUGUGUAUAACAAGGAUGACUGUGGUAAAGUAAAAAGAAAAGACUCAAAUCAUACAAGACGCUCCAAGCAAAACACAUAUCAUGUGGUGAAUAAAAAUAUAACCUCAAGUAAAGUUAUCGAUAGACGAAGACGAAAGAGGGGAUGCCUUCCGAGGCAUCCCCAAGCUUAGGCUUUUGGUUUUCCUUGAAUUUUACCUUGGGGUGCCUUGGGAAUCCCCAAGCUUAGGCUCUUUCCACUCCUUAUUCCAAAAUCCAUCAAAUCUUUACCCAAAAACUUAAAAACUUCACAACACAAAACUUCAACAGAAAAUCUCAUGAGCUCCGUUAGUAUAAGAAAAUAAACCACCACUUUAAGGUACUUUAGUGAACUCAUUCUUUAUUUAUAUUGAUGUUAAAACUACUAUAUUCCAACUUCCCUAUGGUUCAUACCCCCCGAUACUACUCAUAGAUUCAUCAAAAUAAGCAAACAACACAUGAAAAAUAGAAUCUAUCAAAAACAGAACAAUAUGUAGCAAUCUGUAACUUUCGAAUACUUUUGUAACUCUAAAAAUUCUGAAGUAAAUUGGUGGACGUGAGGAAUUUGUCUAUUAAUCAUCUGCAAAAUAAACCUAAAAGCACUCUUUUGUAAAAAAAGACAGCUAUUCUCGUGAGCACAAAAGUUUCUGUUUUUGACAGCAAGAUCGCAAAGACUUCACCCAGGUCUUCCCAAAGGUUCUACUUGGCACAAACACUAAAUAAAACAUAAAACCACAUCUAAACAGAAGCUAGAUGAAUUAUUUAUUACUAAAUAGGAGCAAAAAUCAAAGAACAAAAGUAAAAUUGGGUUGCCUCCCAACAAGCGCUAUCAUUUAACGCCCCUAGCUAGGCAUAAAAACAUGAAUAGAUCUAGGUAUUUCUAUAAUAAUGAUACGGCAAAUCGCGAAAACUCAUGUCAUACUCCCUACGUUCAGCAGCAAGUUUUUUUUUUGGCUAGCAAAAGUAAUCAAAAGGGCUAAAUUUAAUGGGACAAAAGUCCCCAAGAUCAAGGUCCGAAGGAAUUGGUUCCUCCUUUGGCUCCUCAUAUUGCACAACCAAUUCAUCAUUAUAAGCAUUCUUUUGGCAAAAGUCAUGAGCCUUUGUUCAAGAGGAAAACCUAACCCAUUGUUCUGAAUAGCAAAAUUAUCAUUAAGUUCAGAAAUCCUAUCAACUAGAACAUCGGUAGGAACCUUUUUUCUAAGGUUUUCAUUAUAAGCAACAUGAUCUAAAGAUCGUAAACGCAUUAUGUCUUCUUGAUUAAAAAAAUUGCUUCUAUGGGAGGACGACCAACAUCCACCCUAUAAUGCACGAAAAUUUCAUUGGCCUCUUUCAUUAUAAAUCUGAACUCAUAUGCUAGAAAGAUGGCUGCCGCUCGCUUAACAGAAGAAUGCUCUAUAUUGGAAAACUCCAGAAAAAUCCUUUGUAUGCAAGGAUGCAUGUGGAUAAAUUUUCUUUCAAGUUCAACUACGAGCAAAGAUAUAGCAUCCGCAAGACUACUAGUUCUAUGAAGAAUAGACCCACCCAUAGUGGGCAAAGCACCAACACAAGUAAAGAAAUCUUGAAUAACUCCUUUUCCAAUAAUAUUACCACUACCAAUCCGGAACAUUUUAGUAUGUAAAAUAGUAGGUUCUUCAUGAGGAUUAUCAAAAGCAUCAAAGUUUCCCCCAUCGUUACUACUAUCUCUUUCAACGAUAACCUCCCCAGUUUCAGAAAUGAUGGCAACAAACCGCACUAAUGAAUGAACACACAAGAGGCAAGCGAAAAGAGAUGAACGAAAGAGGGGCAAAGAAAAGACAAAGGUUUUCGAAAAUCAUUUUAGAAGUGGGGGAGAGGAAAACGAGAGGCGAAUGGCAAAUAAUGUAAUGCGAGGGAGAAGAGUUUAUAAUGGGUACUUGGUAUGGCUUGACUUGGCGUAGAUCCCCCCGGCAACGGCGCCAGAAAUCCUUCUUGCUACCUCUUGAGCUUGCAAUGGUUUUUCCUUUGAAGAGGAAAGGGUGAUGCAACAAAGUAGCGUAAGUAUUUCCCUCAGUUUUGAGAACCAAGGUAUCAAUCUAGUAGGAGAAGACGCACAAAUCACCUAGUAGCUGCACAAAUAAUUAAGAACCUUGCAAUCAACGAGAUAAAGGGGUUUUCAAUCCCUUCACGGUCACUCGCAAAAGUCAGAUCUAAUAAAGAUAGUAAAGUAAAUAUUUUUGGUAUUUUUGUUGUGUAGAUUGGAAAGUAAAGAAUGCAAAAUAGUAAACGAGAUUUAAAGAAAUGCAAUUUUAUGGAAAAGAGACCCGGGGGCCAUAGGUUUCACUAGUGGCUUCUCUCGAGAUACCAUGUAUUACGGUGAGUGAACAAAUUACUGCCGAUCAAUUGAUAGAAAAGCGCAUAAUUUAUAUCUAAGGCAAUGAUCAUGAACAUAGGCAUCACGUCCGUGUCAAGUAGACCGAGACAAUUAUACAUCUACUACUAUUACUCCACACAUUGACCGCUAUCCAGCAUGCAUCUAGAGUAUUAAGUUCAUAAGAACGGAGUAACGCAUUAGGUAAGAUGACAUGAUGUAGAGAGAUAAACUCAAGCAAUGUGAUAUAAACCCCAUAUUUUUAUCCUCGAUGGCAACAACACAAUACGUGCCUUGCUGCCCCUAUUGUCACUGGGAAAGGACACCGCAAGAUUGAACCCAAAGCUAAGCACUUCUCCCAUUGCAAGAAAGAUCAAUCUAGUAUGCCAAACUAAACCAAAAAUUCGAAGAGACUUGCAAAGAUAUCAAAUCAUGCAUAUAAGAAUUCAGAGAAGAACCAAAUAAUAUUCAUAGAUAAUCUUGUUCAUAAAUCCACAAUUCAUCGGAUCUCGAAACACACACCGCAAAAGAGUAUUACAUCAAAUAGAUCUCCAAGAACAUCGAGGAGAACUUUGUAUUGAGAAUCAAAGAGAGAGAAAAAGCCAUCUAGCUAAUAACUAUGGACCCGAAGGUCUGUGGUAAACUACUCACGCUUCAUCGGAGAGGCAAUUGUGUUGAUGUAGAAGUCCUCCGUGAUCGAUUCCCCCUCCGACAGAUCGCCGGAAAAGGCCCCAAGAUGGGAUCGCACAGGUACAGAUGGUUGCGGCGGUGAAAAAGUAGUUUCGUGGCUCCCCCUGAUGUUUCUAGGGUAUAAGAGUAUAUAUAGGCGAAAGAAGUACGUCAGUGGAGCUACGAGGGGCCCACGAGGGUGGGGUGCGUGCCUACUGCUACGUCUUGAGCUUGGGUUGGUUUUCCUUGAAGAGGAAAGGGUGAUGUAGCAAAGUAGCGUAAGUAUUUCCCUCAGUUUUUGAGAACCAAGGUAUCAAUCCAGUAGGAGGCUCCUCAAAAGUCCCACACACCUACACAAACAAACAAGAAUCUCGCAACCAACGAAAUAAAGGGGUUGUCAAUCCCUUCACGGCCACUUGCAAAGGUGAGAUCUGAUAGAGAUAAUAUGAUAAGAUAAAUAUUUUUGGUAUUUUUAUGAUAUAGAUUGGAAAAUAAAAGAUGCAAAUAAAAGAUAGAUGAAAACUUACAUGAUAAAAAGAUAGACCCGGGGGCCAUAAGUUUCACUAGUGGCUUCUCUCAAGAUAUCAUAAGUAUUAUGGUGGGUGAACAAAUUACUGUCGAGCAAUUGAUAGAAAAACGCAUAGUUAUGAGAUUAUCUAGGCAUGAUACUGUAUAUAGGCAUCACGUCCAUGACAAGUAGAUCGAAACGAUUCUGCAUCUACUACUAUUACUCCACACAUCGACCGACUCCUUCCUGCAUCUAGAGUAUUAAGUUCAUAAGAACAGAGUAACGCAUUAAGAAAGAUGACAUGAUGUAGAGGGAUAAACUCAUACAAUAUGAUAUAAACCCCAUAUUUUUAUCCUCGAUGGCAACAAUACAAUACGUGCCUUGCUGCACCUGCUGUCACUGGGAAAGGACACUGCAAGAUUGAACCCAAAGCUAAGCACUUCUCCCAUUGCAAGAAAGAUCAAUCUAGUAGGCCAAACCAAACUGAUAAUUCGAUGAGACUUGCAAAGAUAACUUAAUUACGCAUAAAAGAAUUCAGAGGAGAUUCAAAUAUUUCUCAUAGAUAAACUUGAUCAUAAACCCACAAUUCAUCGGAUCUCGACAAACACACCGCAAAAAGGGUUACAUCGAAUAGAUCUCCAAGAAGAUCGAGGAGAACUUUGUAUUGAGAUUCAAAGAGAGAGAAGAAGCCAUCUAGCUAACAACUAUGGACCCGAAGGUCUAUGGUAACCUACUCACAACUCAUAGGAGAGGCCUUGGAGAUGAUGUAGAGGCCCUCCGUGGUUGAUUCCCCCUCCGGCGGAGCACCGGCGAAGGCUCCAAGAUGGGAUCUCGCAGAUACAGAAGGUUGCGGCAGUGGAAUUAGGUUUUCAUGGUCACUUCUGAUGGUUUCAGGGUACAUGAGUAUAUAUAGGAGGAAGAAGUAGGUCGGUGGAAGCUCGAGGGGCCCAUGAGGGUUGGGGGAGCGUCCACCCCUAGGGGGCGCGCCGGGCACCCUUGUGGCCGCCUUAGUUGUUGCUUGACGUCCACUCCAAUUCUCCAGGUUUGCAUUUGUUCCAAAAAGAUCGCUCCCGAAGGUUUCAUCCCGUUUGGACUCCGUUUGAUAUUCCUUUUCUUCGAAACACUAAAAUAGGCAAAAAAACAACAAUUCGGGCUGGGCCUCUGGUUAGUAGGUUAGUCCCAAAAAUGAUAUAAAAGUGUAAAGUAAAUCCCAUAAACAUCCAAAACGGGUAAUAUAAUAGCAUGGAACAAUAAAAAAAUAUAGAUACGUUGGAGACAUAUCAAGCAUCCCCAAGCUUAAUUCCUUCUUGUCCUCGAGUAGGUAAAUGAUAAAAACAUAAUUUUUGAUGUGGAAUGCUACCUAGCAUAAUUCUCAAUGUAAUUUUGUUUAUUGUGGCAUGAAUGUUCAGAUCCGAAUGAUUCAAAAUAAAAGUUCAUAUUGACAUAAGAAAUAGUAAUACUUCAAGCACACUAAUAAAGCAAUCAUGUCUUCUCAAAAUAGCAUGGCUAAAGAAAGGCAUCCCUACAAAAUCAUAUAGUCUGGCUGUUGCUCUAUCUUCAUGACACAAAGUAUUUAAUCAUGCACAACCCCGAUGACAAGCCAAGCAAUUGUUCCAUACUUUAGUAAUCUCAAACUUUUUCAACUUUCACGCAAUACAUGAGCAUGAGCCAUGGACAUAGCGAUAUAUGUGGAAUGGAAUGAUGGUUGUGGAGAAGACAAAAAUGAGAAGAUAGUCUCACAUCAACUAGGCGUAUCAAUGGGCUAUGGAGAUGCCCAUCAAUAGAUAUCAAUGUGAGAAGGUAGGGAUUGCCAUGCAACGGAUGCACUAGAGCUAUAAAUGUAUGAAAGCUCAACAAAAGAAACUAAGUUGGUGUGCAUCCAACUUUCUUGCUCACGAAGACCUAGGGCGUUUUGAGGAAGCCCAUCAUUGGAAUAUACAAGCCAAGUUCUAUAAUGAAAAAUUCCCACUAGUAUAUGAAAGUGACAACAUAGGAGACUCUCUAUCAUGAAGAUCAUGGUGCUACUUUGAAGCACAAGUGUGGUAAAAAGGAUAGUAGCAUUGUCCCUUCUCUCUUUUUCUGACAUUUUUUUAUUUGACCUUUCCCUUUUUUUAUUUGGACUUUCUCUUUUUUUAUAAAGUCCGGAGUCUCAUCCUGACUUGUGGGGGAAUCAUAGUCUCCAUCACCCUUUCCUCACUUGGGACAAUGCUCUAAUAAUGAAGAUCAUCACACUUUUAUUUACUUACAACUCAAGAUUACAACUCGAUACUUAGAACAAAAUAUGACUCUAUAUGAAUGCCUCCGGCGGUGUACCGAGAUAUGCAAUGAAUCAAGAGUGACAUGUAUGGAAGAAUUAUGAAAGUGCCCUUGCCACAAAUACAAUGUCAACUACAUGAUCAUGCAAGAGGAAUAUAAUAAUGAUGAUGCGUGUCAUAAUAAACGGAACGGUGGAAGGUUGCAUCGCAAUAUAUCUCAGAAUGGCUAUGGAAAUGGCAUAAUAGGUAGGUAUGGUGGCUGUUUUGAGGAAGGUAUAUGGUGGGUGUAUGGUACCGGCGAAAGUUGCGCGGCACAAGAGAGGCUAGCAAUGGUGGAAGGGUGAGAGUGCGUAUAAUCCAUGGACUCAACAUUAGUCAUAAAGAACUCAUAUACUUAUUGCAAAAAUCUACAAGCCAUUGAAAACAAAGUACUGCACGCAUGCUCCUAGGGGGAUAGAUUGGUAUGAAAAGACCAUUGCUCGUCCCCGGCCGCCACUCAUAAGGAAGACAAUCAAUAAAUAAAAUUGUGCUCCAACUUCAUCACAAAGUGGUUCACCAUACUUGCAUGCUACGGGAAUCACAAACUUCACCACAAGUAUUCUUUAAAUUCACAAUUACCCAACUAGCAUGACUCUAAUAUCACCACCUCUAUAUCUCAAAACAAUUAUCAAGCAUCAAAUUAAUCAUAGCAUCCAGUUCACUUUUUAUGAUAGUUUUUAUUAUACCCAACUUGGAUGCCCAUCAUUCUAGGACCAAUUUUAUAACCAUAGUAAAUACCAUUAUGUUCUAAAAGACUCUCAAAAUAAUAUAAGUGAAGCAUGAGAGAUCAACAAUUUCUUCAAAAUUAAGCCACCACCGUGCUCUAAAAGAUACAAGUGAAGCACUAGAGCAAAAAUUAUCUAGCUCAAAAGAUAUAAGUGAAGCACAUAGAGUAUUCUAAUAAAUUCUAAAUCAUGUGGGUUUCUCCCAAAAGGUGUGUACAGCAAGGAUGAUUGUGUUAAUCUAAAAAGCAAAGACUAAUAUCAUACAAGACGCUCCAAGCAAAACACAUAUCAUGUGGCGAAUAAAAAUAUAGCUCCAAGUAAAGUUAUCGAUAGACGAAGACGAAAGAGGGGAUGCCUUCCGGGGCAUCCCCAAGCUUAGGCUUUUGGUUAUCCUUGAAUAUCUUGGGGUGCCAUGGGCAUCCCCAAGCUUAGGCUCUUGCCACUCCUUAUUCCAUAGUCCAUGAAAUCUUUACCCAAAACUUGAAAACUUCACAACACAAAACUCAACAGGAAAUCUCAUAAGCUCCGUUAGUGCAAGAAAUAAAAACCACCACAUAAGUUACUGUAAUGUACUCAUUAUUUAUUUAUAUUGGUGUUAAACCUACUGUAUUCCAACUUCUCUAUGGUUCAUACCCCCCGAUACUAGCUAUAGAUGCAUCAAAAAUAAGCAAACAACACACAAAAAACAGAAUCUGUCAAAAAUAGAACAGUCUGUAGAAAUCUGUAACUUUAGAAUACUUCUGGAACUCCAAAAAUUAUAAACUAAAUUGAUGAACGUGAGUAAUUUGUCUAUUAAUCAUCUGCAAAAAGAAUCAACUAAAAAUCUCUCUCCAAUAAACAAUGGCAGCUAAUCUCGUGAGCGCUAAAGUUUUUGUUUUUUACAGCAAGAUAAUAUAAACUUCACCCAAGUCUUCCCAAAGGUUCUACUUGGCACAAACACUAAUUAAAACAUAAAACCACAUCUAAACAGAGGCUAGAUGAAUUAUUUGUUGAAUAAAAGCAAGGAAAAGUAUUGGGUUGUCUCCCAACAAGCGCUUUUUCUUUAAAGCCUUUUAGCUAGGCAUUGAUAAUUUUAAUGAUGCUCACAUGGAAGACAAGAAUUGAAGCGCAAAGAGAGCAUCAUGAAACACGUGACAAACACAUCUAAGUCUAACAUACUUCCUAUGCAUAGGCAUAUUAUAAGAAAACAAAUUUGCAAGGCAAGCAAAAACUAGCAUAUGCAAGGAAGAAGAAAGAGACGAUAGCAAUGUCAACAUGACGAGAGGUAAUUUAGUAACAUGAAAAUUUCUACAACCAUAUUUUCCUCUCUCAUAAUAAUUACAUGUGGAAUCAUAAGAAAAUUCAACAAAAUAGCUAUCACAUAAAAUAUUUUCAACACGAUCCACAUGCAUGCGAAGUUGACACUCUUCCAAAAUAGUGGGAUUAACAUUAACUAAAGUCAUGACCUCUCCAAACCCACUUUUAUCAAAAAUAUCAUAAGAUUGAACAUACUCCAAAUAUGUGGGAUCUAAAGUUGACACUCUUCCAAACCCACUUUCAAUAUUAUUGCAAACACUAUUAUCAAUCUCAUAUUCAUCAUGGGGCUUAAAUAAAUUUUCAAUAUUAUAAGAAGAAUCACCCCAAUCAUGAUCAUUGCAACAAGUAGUAGACAUUGCAAAACUAGAAUCCCCAAGCUUAGGGUUUUGCAUAUUAUUAGCACAAUUGACAUAAAGAGAAUUUAUAGUAAAAUCAUUGCAAUCAUGCUUUUUAUUCAAGGAGUUAUCGUGAAUCUCUUCAUAAAUUUCUUCAUCACAAUUUUCAGAUUUACGAAUUUCAAGCAAAGCUUCAUAAAGAUAAUCUAGUACACAAAACUCACUAGCAAUUGGUUCAUCAUAAUUGGAUCUCCUAAAAAGAUUAUAAAGCGGAUGAGGAUCCAUAGAUCUUAGCAAGCGAAGAUGCAAGCAAAAAGAAGGUGAUAACUCACAAGUGUAGGGGGUCACAACAGCUUCCGAGGGUAAAAUAUUCAACCCAAAUUUAUUGAUUCGACUCAAGGGGAGCCAAAGAAUAUUCUUGAGUAUUAGCAGUUGAGUUGUCAAUUCAACCACACCUGGAUAACUUAGUAUCUGUAACAAAGUAUUUAGUAGCAAAGUAAUAUGAUAAUAAAAGUAACAGUAGCAAAAGUAAUGUUUUUGGGGUUUUGUAAUGAUUGUAGCAAUAGCAACGGAAAAGUAAACAAGCAAAGCACAAUAUGUGAAAAGCUCGUAGGCAAUGGAUUAGUGAUGGAUAAUUAUGUCGGAUGCGAUUCCUCAUGUAAUAGCUAUAACAUAGGGUGACACAGAACUAGCUCCAAUUCAUCAAUGUAAUGUAGGCAUGUAUUCCAUAUAUAGUAUACGUGCUUAUGGAAAAGAACUUGCAUGACAUCUUUUGUCCUACCCUCCCAUGACAGCGGGGUCCUAGCGGAAACUAAGGGAUAUUAAGGCCUCCUUUUAAUAGAGAACCGGAACAAAGCAUUAGCACAUAGUGAACACAUGAACUCCUCAAACUACGGUCAUCACUGAGAAGUAUCCCGAUUAUUGUCACUUCGGGGUUGUCGGAUCAUAACACAUAAUAGGUGACUGUAGACUUGCAAGAUAGGAUCAAGAACACACAUAUAUUCAUGAAAACAUAAUAGGUUCAGAUCUGAAAUCAUGGCACUCGGGCCCUAGUGACAAGCAUUAAGCAUAGCAAAGUCAUAGCGACAUCAAUCUCAGAACAUAGUGGAUACUAGGGAUCAAACCUUAACAAAACUAACUUGAUUACAUGGUAAAUCUCAGCCAACCCAUCACCGUCCAGCAAGCCUACGAUGGAAUUACUCACGCACGACGGUGAGCAUCAUGAAAUUGGUGAUGGAGGACGGUUGAUGAUGACGACGGCGACGAAUCCCCCUCUCCGGAGCCACGAACGGACUCCAGAUCAGCCCUCCCGAGAGAGAUUAGGGCUUGGCGGCGGCUACGUAUCGUAAAACAUGAUGAAACUUUCUCUCUGAUUUUUUUUCUCCACGGGACGGAAUAUAUGGAGUUGGAGUUGAGGUCGGCAGAGCCUCAGGGGGCCCACGAGAUAGGGGGCGCGCCCAGGGGGGUGGGCGCGCCCCCACCCUCAUGGUCAAGGUGUGGGCCCCCUGGUCUUGAUUCUUUCUCCAGUAUUUUUUAUAUUUUCCAAAAAGUGCCUCCGAGGAUUUUCAGGACAUUCCGAGAACUUUUGUUUUCUACACAUAAAACAACAUCAUGGCAGUUCUGCUGAAAACAGCAUCGGUCCGGGUUAGUUUCAUUCAAAUCAUGCAAGUUUGAGUCCAAAACAAGGGAAAAAGUGUUUGUAAAAGUAGAUACGUUGGAGACAUAUCAACUCCCCCAAGCUUAAACCUUUGCUUGUCCUCAAGCAAUUCAGUUGAUAAACUGAAAGUGAUAAAGAAAAGCUUUUACAAACUCUAUUUGCUCUUGUUAUUGUAAACAUGCAAAGCGUGCAUUCAGGUUUCAGCAAGUAUUAUAAACUAACCAUACUCACAAUAACACUUAGGUCUCACAAUUACUCAUAUCAAUGGCAUAAUCAGCUAGCGAGACAUAAUAAUAAAACUUGGAUGACAACACUUUCUCAAAACAAUUAUAAGAUGAUAUAACAAAAUGGUAUCUCGCUAGCCCUUUCUGAGACCGCAAAACAUAAAUGCAGAGCACCUUUAAAGAUCAAGGACUGACUAAACAUUGUAAUUCAUGGUAAAAGAGAUCCAGUCAAGUCAUACCCAAUACAAACUAAUAAUAAUGAAUGCAAAUGAUAGUGUGCUCUCCAGCGGGUGCUUUUAAUAAGAAGGUGAUGACUCAACAUAAAAGUAAAUAGAUAGGCCCCUCGCAGAGGGAAGCAGGGAUUUUUAGAGGUGCCAGAGCUCGAUUUAAAAUAGAGAUUGAAUAACAUUUUGAGCGGCAUACUUUCGCUGUCAACGCAACAACUAUGAGAUGGCUGUAUCUUCCAUACUACAUGCAUUAUAGGCAGUUCCAAAACAGAAUGGUAAAGGUUUAUACUCCCCCAACCACCAACAAGCAUCAAUCCAUGGCUUGCUCGAAACAAUGAGUGCCUCCAACUAACAACAAACCUGGGGGAGUUUUGUUUAAUUAUAUUGGUUUGCUUUGAUCUUUUUGGAUCAUGGGACUGGGCAUCCCGGUUACCGACCCUUUCUCGUGAAUGAGGAGCGGAGUCCACUCCUCUUGAGAAUAACCCACCUAGUAUGGAAGAUUUAGGCAGCCCUAGUCAAAACAUGAGCUGCUAGAGCAUACAAAACAGAAUUUCAUUUGAAGGUUUGGAGUUUGGCACAUACAAAUUUACUUGGAACGGCAGGUAGAUACCGCAUAUAGGAAGGUGGACUCAUAUGGAAUAACUUUGGGGUUUAAGGAGUUUGGAUGCACAAGCAGUAUUCCCGCUUAGUACAGGUGAAGGCUAGCAAAAGACUGGGAAGCGACCAACUGAGAGAGUGACAACAAUCAUAAACACGCAUUAAAAUUAAUUCACACCGAGUACAAGCAUGAGUAGGAUAUAAUCUACCAUUAACAUAAAUAUCAUGAAGGCUAUGUUGAUUUGUUUCAACUACAUGCGUGAACAUGUGCCAAGUCGAGUCACUCAAUUUAUUUAAAGGAGGAUACCAUCCCAUCAUACCACAUCAUAAUUAUUCUAAUAGCAUGUUCGCACGGAAGGUAAACCAUUAUAACUCAUAGCUAAUCAAGCAUGGUACAAGCAACUAUAAUCUCUAAAUUUCAUUGCAAAUAUGUUUACUUCAGAAUAAGCUGAAUCAGGAACGAUGAACUCAUCAUAUUUACAAAAACAAGAGAGGUCGAGUUCAUACCAGCUUUUCUCAUCUCAAUAAGUCCAUCAUAUAUCAUCAUUAUUGCCUUUCGCUUGCAUGACCAAACAAUGUGUAUAAUAAUAAUAGUGCACGUGCAUUGGACUAAGCUGGAAUCUGCAAGCAUUCAACUCAAGAGAGAGAAGACAAGGUAAUAUGGGCUCUAAGUUAAAUAAACAAUCAUGCAUAUGAGAGCCACUAAAUUUUUUCAAUAUGGUCUUCUACUCUCGACCCCCAAGGAAAAGAAAAGAAAAGAAAACUAUUUACAUGGGAUCAAGCGCAAGUUUCUCAAGGCCAUGAUGCCCUACCAUAAGGCCAUGUCAUUCGUCAUCUUUCAAAGGCCGGACUUCCAUACCUUGUCCUCAAAUGAAGUGUUGGAUGAGUUUGUUGCCAUGAGAAUCUUGGACAAGACCGCCGACAAUGCGGUGAUGCGCUCUCAAUGAGUGAAGAAACCCGACCUUGCUUUGAAGGCCAAGGCUUGUGUGGAAGAAGAGGAAGAAGAGGAAGAAGAGGAGAGUAACCCCGAAGAUACAAAAUAUGAUUAUCAUGAGCACAUGGCUCUCGCCUCAAGGCAAUUUUGGAGCAAGAAGAACUCAAGGCCCAACUUCAACAAGAACAACUCAAGUGGCACCAAGGGCAAGCAACAUGUGAGAACAUGCUAUAGUUGUGGCAAUGUGAGCCACUUUGUUGCGGAGUGCCCAUACGAGAAGCGGGAAUACAAUGGUCACAAGCUUAUCCGAAAAGACAAAGCCGAGUUCUUCCCCAACAAGAACAACUUCACCAAGAAGACUCCUCCCAAGGGGUUGGUGGCACAAGAAGAGUACAAUGAGGAUGAUGAUGAUGAAGACGGUGAGAUGAUGGCCAUGGCCUCUGUUGCCAUUGCCAGAACUUCACGGGUGUCCCUCUUUGACUCACCCAACGAGAACAUCACCGCCAAGUGCCUCAUGGCCAAAGCCACCAACAAGGUAACCCCCAACAUCAAAACUACCAUCACUACUAAUCCUUCCUUGACGGAUUGCAUUGAUGAAAGUGAGGGGUCUAAUGAGGAAGUAAAUGAAUUUGAGUCUUUUAUGAGUAAGCUCAAGGGUAAAUCCAAGAAGCACUUUGUUGCUCUCUUGGAACAACUUGGUGAAGCCAAUGACAUGAUCGAGGCUCACGAAGAAACCAUCUCUAAGAUGGAAGGACAUAGUCGUGACAUGCCGAUGAGAUAUCAGAUCUCUCUAAUGCGCUUGAGGAAGAGCGUGGUCAUCGUUUGGCUCUUGAGGAGUCACACAACAAUGAUCAUGCUAAACUAAAGAAAGAUCUUGAUCAUGCUCUUGUUGUAUCUCGUGUGCUCAAUACCGAGAAGGCUAAACUUGGGGUUGACCAUGCUAGACUCAAGGAGGAGUUUGAGAUACUUGACAAGGCUCACAAGGCCUUGAAGGGUGCUCAUGCUAGUCUCAAGGAGUCUCAUGAUCAACUCCAAGUGAAGCUAACCAAGGACAAAGCCACAUUUCCUCAUAUGGUCUUAAUUGAUAAUGCAAAUGCUACUAACCCGUGUUGUGAGCAUGUGCAUCUUGUGUAGGAGAAUGCCAAGUUGAAGGAGAAACUUGAGAAAGGCCUUGUGUCUUGCAUACAAGGUGAGAAGAACCUCAACGAUCUUUUGAGCAAUCAAAAUGAAGUUGUGGGCAAGGAGGGAAUUGGGUUUGCACCCAAGUCCAAGAACAAGAAGAAGAAUGACAAGGCCAAACAACCUCUUUCUCUCAAGCAAACUUUUGUGAAGGAGGGAGAGGGUGAUCCUAAGGAUAAGAAGAGGAACAAUGUGAAGGGUCGUGGUGCCAAGAAGGGCAUUGCCACCCUUUCCAAUAAAGCCAGCGACUUUAACCCUUCUUAUGUGUUAUGUCGUGCUAGUGAUGGGCAUGUUUAUGCCAAAUUUGUUGGUUCUCCUUAUGAGUACAUUGAAUGGUCUAUUUGGGUUCCUAAGACCCUUGUUACUAACAUCAAAGGACCCAUUACAAAAUGGGUACCUAAAAAAAA